UUAGAUGGUCUCUUUUUGGCCCUCUACGCCCCCUGUUGUUGAGGGAUCGGGUUGCCAUGCCAACGCCGCCAGGAGUCGUUAGAGGCGUGAUGACGUCAUCUAGGACGAGACACUGGAAGUGCGGGCGGGCCCGGCGCUGACACCGCGGGGAGAUGCUGAUGGGCUGCUUCUGUUAUUGGUAUAAAGGUAACCAUCCAAUCUUAUCUCUGGAGUACAAAAAGUGAAAGCCUGAUGAGAAUAAACUUGGCUGCCUUCUGAAAGAGAUGGCUCUGUGGUUUGGUCUCUAGAGCUGUUGUGUUUCCUGCCUGAAGCGCACAGUGCAUAUCUAGUGCCAGCGUUUAUUCCAACUGAUUUCCUUGACUAAUUCAGUCAUGGAAGUCCUGCUGUCACGGAGACUACACUGGCUGCUGGGAAAACGAGUCUGCAAGCCCAAAACAUACUACAAGCUUAACAGUUUAACACAGUGUUGGAAAGUAUAGUCUCAGAGUCAGCUUUUAUCCCUGAGGAAGACAACAGAGAGCCAGUUCUGAACUCUGCAUCCUGAUUCUGUCAUAAACCAACUCAGCAACUGUGCCCUGUUCAUAUGCAUCAGUAAUCUUGUCAUAGAUGUGCAGAGUCCUACGAUCCUCAAGCCUGAAGAAUGUGGUUUCCCACACCUGGCAAUUAUUACUAUAAGAGAUAAAAUACAGUGAUCAAUUGUCCUUAUCAAGCAACUUUUGGCAUAAGUCCCAUCUCAGAAGUUUUCCCACUACGACAGUUCAAGACCAGUGAAUCAUGGAUUUCAAACUUGAUUAUAUAUUGACAAUGCAGAGGAAUAAACAAAAACAGUAAAUCCACUCUGAUUACAGUAUAUAACUUGCCUAUACAUUUCCGUUAAUGAAAAGGAAGUGUGCAAUUAACUUGCAUUAAAUAUUAUAUAAGGUAUCCACAAAUUAAUAGUUUACUUUACCAUCUUUACCAAACAAAGAGGCCAGUAACAGUCUUCCUCACUCAAUAAUCGUAUGUAACUACUGUUUUUAACCAAUUAAUUGGCUAAUAGUUUUUCCAAAAAAUGUUCAGAAAUUGUCAUUUUUUAUGAAUGAAUUAGGUUAAGAAUACUUAUUUAAAAUAUGUCCAAUACAAUUUUAUAUAAAAAAACAAACAACCACAAAAACUACCAUAGCGAUUUCACUUUUUCAGAACCUGCUUCUCUCUGUAUCCUCUGGAGGUCCAAAGGAAAGGCAAGGGGCUGCUUUUCCACAUUUCCUCAGUGGCUGCUAAUUUCUGCAGCCAAUGGGUGAGGGGCUGCUGCUGGGCUGACCGAUAAGCAGUGAUCGGCAGCAGGGCAGGCACUGGGGGAGAUGGAACCAGGAAGCAGAAGGACUGGAGGUCCCUCUGAGAGCAGCAAAUAGGGCUGGAAUGGCACUCUGGUAGGCCAGGCUAAAUUCCAUUUAUCUGGUCGUCCCCUCAGUGACUGCCCAUGGUCCCACAUGCUGGCCGGCUGCUACGAUUGGGGCUCAGCUUUGAUCGGGCAGCAUAAACUGAAAGCUCAGACAUCAGGAAAAAUGGCCACUGGUGGAGCUGCUGUGCAUGUGAAGCCACAGAAGCCUUUGUAGUGUUUGCCAUCAGUCACCACUGACAGAUCCACCUCUGGGUCCUCCUACAGCCCCAUCAAUCUUCUGUCUGUAACAAGCAGUUAAAGCUGCCAGAUGGAAUGAAAACCAGAAACUGUGAUCUUGCAGGUGAGUGGAUGCUUCCAGAAUCUACAGCCUGAGAGCACCUUGAGCGGGAAUGCAUGAAGUGGGAAGUGGCCAGAGUGGGUGAUGAACAGCACAAUGUUGGGUGCGGUACUGGUGGUGCUGUUGUGGUGACUGUCUUCUCUGCUAGCCUCGCCACACUUAAAACCAUGGUGGAGGACUGCUGUGCUGCUCCUCUGGUUUGGAAGAGGAUGGACUGCUGUGUCGGCCCUAGACAUGUGCCUAGUGGGAAAUCCAGCACUGGGCACUGGCUGUCUCUCCACUGUUAGUACCUGUCUCUCUCCUGGCACUUCUGACUCUCCCUGAUGUUCACUUGAUGAUUCUUUGCUGCUCUCUUGCUGUCAUUCUGUGUCUCUAUUUGCUACUCUCUUGCUGUCAGUAUCUGCUGCUCUCUUGCUAUCUCUGCUGCUCUCUUGCUGUCUGUUUCUCUUUGCUUUCUUGCUGUCUUUGCUGGUCUCCUGCUGUUUGUCUCUCUCUGCUGCUCUCUUGCUGUCUGUUUGUCGGCUACUCUCUUGUCUGUCUCUCAGCUUCUCACUUGCUAUCUCUGCUGAUCUCUUGCUAUCUGUCUGUCUCUCUUUUUUCCUGUGAGUACUUGUGAAUUUUUUUCUUCUGCAAUGUUUUCAUCUGUGUAUGGAUCCCAAAAGUGUUCACACAGAGUUGCUGUACAGACCCAGAUGCACACACCAAGAAGUGUAUUAGAAUUGUGUUAAGUGUUCCUAGGUGGGAACAGGGGGUUGACUAAUCAAACAUGGCUGUAUAUAGAGAAGCUUAACACAUUGGAGGCCAUACACAAAUGAUCUGAACCUAGCAUAGAUUGUAAGCUUGUGAGCAGGGCCUUAGUACCUCUAUGACUGUCUGUUAUUACCCAGUAUAUUUUUAUCAGUGUUUCCAAUUGCAAAGCACAACACAAUAUGCUGGGCUAUAUAAGAAACUGUUAAUAAUAGCAUAGGGCUGGUUUCAAUGUUGUUAGCAAGGGUGUGCAGCUCAGUUCUUGCAUUUUUGGAUGCAUAGAAGUACACCAGGGAGGUGCAUUGAAGCAGCAUUACCAUAAAGUUGCAAAAACAACUGCAGAAAAAACCACAAGGAAGAUGCAAGUUCAACCAACUCAGGCGCUAAGAGGAGGGUUCCUGCACCCCUCAACAAGCCCCAUCCCAUCAACAGAUUUCACCUGCAUUAGGGCUGCUUCUAUGACUUUCUUGGCUGGUUUCCAAUCCCAAUCUGCCCCUGGCAGCAACUACAGGAGGAUUCUCUUCCUGCUGGCGUACAGUGGGCUUUCUGACAGGUCUCAUCAGAUGCAACUGUUCCAGGCAAGUGGUUAAACCAAAAUGAAUCACAAAUAUUUGCCUCAAUUUUUAAUGGUUAGUACUGUGGGUCUCCAAAAUAUACUGGUAAUACUUGAUUGUGUACCUCUUAAGGAUAUCAAAACAAUGUAAUCCAAAUUUUUCCAAGUACAUUAAUCCUUGAAUAUUAGUAUCACAUAUUAGUUAGUUAGGACUUAUCUGCCCUAGAUAUAUAGAUAGAUAGAUAGAUAGAUAGAUAGAUAGAUAGAUAGAUAGAUGAUACACAGAUGUGAAUGUGUUCAAUUUACAGACUAAAGAGGCCUUUGUGUAUUAUUUUGCACAAUUAUUUACAAUUGGUGUAUUUUUACCAGGGUCAAUUAAUCUUCUCCCCACACUUACCCUUGCUACAUUUACCCUUUACUGCAAUCCCCUGUCUCCAUAGCUCCUAUACUGUAUGUGAAUGUGUUAGCAGAAAAAAAUGAGGGUUUGAGCAAACAAUAUGCUCCCACUGCACAUACUGUAUCUUAUUCAGGACAGACUAUGUAUAAUGACAGUAUUAUAUAGAUACUGUACUUGGUCAAUGGUUCUAUUUUACGUAAAUUGUCACAAUUUAAUAUUAAUGAGUUAAACAAAACAAAAAUAACUGAUA